rnacentral:rRNA from 1 species
CCUACGGGAGGCAGCAGUGAGGAAUAUUGGUCAAUGGCCGGAAGGCUGAACCAGCCAAGCCGCGUGAAGGACGAAGGUGCCAAGCAUUGUAAACUUCUUUUGUCAAGGGACAAAAUCAGGCUCGAGAGCCUGACCGAGGGUACUUGAAGAAAAAGCAUCGGCUAACUCCGUGCCAGCAGCCGCGGUAAUACGGAGGAUGCGAGCGUUAUCCGGAUUUAGUGGGUUUAAAGGGUGCGUAGGCUGACUGUUAGGUCAGCGGUAAAAGCCCGGGGCUCAACCCCGGCGAGCCUUUGAAACUGGCUGUCUUGAGAUGUCGAGAGGUAUGCGGAAUGCGCAGUGUAGCGGUGAAAUGCUUAGAUAUUGCGCAGAACUCCGAUUGCGAAGGCAGCAUACCGGCGGCGAUCUGACGCUGAGGCACGAAAGCGUGGGUAUCGAACAGGAUUAGAUACCCCAGUAGUC